rnacentral:misc_RNA from 1 species
UAAUAAUGAGAAGGAAUGAAAUAUAUACUAAGUACAACAGAUCUUAAAAAAUAAUUAUUGUUAAAGUGCUCCAAGAAGACCUAACAUUCUUGUCACACAGCAUAGAAAAGCAGCAUUUAACCAGAAGUUCACGCCAUCCUUCUUCUCAAUGCCGAUUAUAUGACUAGGGCUGUCAUCAAACCUCGAACGAAAGCACUAUUCACUAACCUUUUUUAUUUGAUUGCUUGUUUGUAUUAUGGUUUUCAUACGUUGCAUACAAAUUUAUCUCAAAAACAACUUUCUUAUCAAUAAAUAAAAGUCAAUUAUGCAACUGUUGUAAUAUACAAAACUUUAUUAUAAUUUAAAAUCAAUUAACUGUGAUUUAAAUUUAUAAUUUGAUUGUAAAACGUUUUCUAUUUGCAAUUUAAAUUUUUGAGAUGACAUUAAUUUUGAAUGCCGCAUAGUUGGUAAAGCACUAUAGUUUUAAUUGACGAGAUAAGGACUUUGUUUAUACCUUUAUGUUGUUCUUCACCAUAUUUACAAGUUAAUGCUGAUCGAGCUGCGUCAGUCGCUUUAUUAAAUUAAUGAUUUGUUAAAUUUAUUUUUAGCAUGGUAUGAAAACUUUUGACUCGAGCACACUUUAAACUUAAACUUUUUUACACUUACGUUAAAUAAGAAUUGUAAAAAAAAUUGAAAUGAUUAGAGAUCACUAAGAAUAAUACUUUUACUAUUCUAAUUUGAACUUAAUAUUUAAUAAAGUUUUUAAUAGUUACCAUAGUUUCA